UUAAACAGCAAUAUGAACGAU
rnacentral:piRNA from 1 species